AAGAGCCCAAAUUUGAAAUCGGGCAACCGAGUUGUAAUUUGGAGACGGGACACUAGAGAGGAGGAAGGCGAUUAAGUGCCUUGGAACAGGCUGCCGUAGAGGGUGAGAGCCCCGUGAAUCGCUGGAGACCGAUCAAUUAGUGCCCGCCGAAGAGUCGAGUUGUUUGGGAAUGCAGCUCUAAGUGGGUGGUAUAUUCCAUCUAAGGCUAAAUAUUAGCGAGAGACCGAUAGCAAACAAGUACAGUGAUGGAAAGAUGAAAAGAACUUUGGAAAGAGAGUGAAAUAGUACGUGAAAUUGUUGAAAGGGAAGGGUAUUUGAUCCGACAUGGUGUUUAGCAGCGGCCCGUUCCUCGUGGAUGGGUGCACCUGGUUUACACUGGGCCAGCAUCGGUUCUGGGAGCCAUAUACGGGGUUCGUGAAUGUGGCCCUUCGAUUCUGUCGGAGGGUAUAGCGCGGACAUCUUGUGGCUAGCCGGGACCGGGGACUGCGGUGACUUGUCACCAAGGAUGCUGGCAGAACGAGCAAAUACCACCCGUCUUGAAACACGGNAC
rnacentral:rRNA from 1 species